GGGUCUCCCAGGCGCGCCGUGGCGCCUCCCACCAGCGCGAUCACGUUGUGGCCCGCUCGCUGCAAAUGAAACAGGCCCAGCAGCGCAAGUAGAUGACCCACAUGAAGCGAGUCUGCCGUGGGGUCGAAGCCACAGUAAAUGGUUUGGGGAAAACUCGCCGUGCCACGGUCGAAGAGCUCUGGGAGCUCUAUUUUCGUCCCCGUCUCCGGGAAGAAGUCCUUGAACAGACCUCGAGCCUUCUGCGCUGCCAGUAACCCCUGAGCGCCCGAGUGGGCCUUACGCAGCCCCAAGGGCAACAAUACUGAGAGAUUUAGGGUACCAGACCACCGGCCCCAGGAAAAGGACCGCAAGAUGGGCGCCGCCAUCUUGGUAGCGGCACGAAGGGAAUGCUGGGAUUGCAGAGGCUCCCACCACACCCACCUACUUACAGCUCCUAGGGAAGGUGCUUCAGUGUUUUUCUGCGCAUGCCCGAGACGGUUACGUAGUUACGGAGCUUGCGCUCUCAGCAGUUGAGUCCCGACUCCAAGUGGCGAUUCCGCCUCAGAGCCGUCGCCUUACGUUCCCUUAAACUUAAUUUUUCCAUCAGCAGUGUGGAUCUGCUUAUGAUAGUUCCUACCUCAUAAGGCUGUUGUGAGCCUUAAAAAUUAAAGCAUUUGGCACAUAACGCUUCACAAAUGCUAACUUGUAUUUACAUUUUCACGUAAAAAGAUUGUGAUGCGCAAGUUCUUUGAAGUCUUGGUUCCAUGCAAAAAGCUGUUCACAGAGGUUGAGAAAGGUUAGGAAUUGGUUUAAGUUCGCGGAGAGAUAGGGAGUUGCUGCUGAGACGCAAGCAAUUUCAUAGUACCGAUUCCCUAAUUGCACCUCGUCCCCAGUAUUCAUCGGCUCUUCCAGGAGGUGGCAGUCUUGUCCAAGGUAUAGCAAGAAAAACUCAGUGCAAUAAAGUACAUGCAUCAA
rnacentral:lncRNA from 1 species